UCAGGGAAAUCAUUAUACAAGAAUACAUUUUAGCACUAUCCGAGAAUGCUACAUACUUAAUAAAACCCCGAAAGGUACAGCAAAACUUACAAUAAUUUAGUUUUUAGUGUUUUUGUAUUUACACUCACGGGAACCCUGUGUCUAAUUUUUCCCGCGUUUUUGUUCUUCUAACUCGCAGCCGACACCGUGAGUAUUGUUGAUAAAGUUUUGCAUUAUUUUCGUCGUGGCUAAAACUAAAAAGGAAAAUCGACACAUCUUAACACUUUUAUAAUAAAAAGACGUACAAACGAUGGACGGAAGGACAAACGAUGGAAAAAGAAGAUGAAUCCCAGCUGACAGCUUUAAAGGCAUGAUGCUUGGACAGAAUGUAUUCAUUAAUACAGCUAAGAAACAAAAAGAUAGGUAGUAGUUACCAAUGAAAACUUGUUAUAAAAAAAAACGAAGCCAGCUAAUAAAAUAAACUAAA